UUUAAGUAUGCAUGUGGAUUCCUAUGUCUAAAGUUUGAUCGUUCGUUUUGUUUUAAACUUUUUUGAUUAGUAUUUUUGUUGCUAUUAGAUGAUAAAACAUGAAUAAUAUUUUAUGCGCGACUUUUUUUAUUUUUUUUAUAAAUUCGUUAAAUAAGAUGUGCAGUCAAACGACAGACACGGAAACCCGCUAACGUAUUUAAA
rnacentral:pre_miRNA from 1 species